UACAUAGGGUGCAAGCGUUGUCCGGAAUUAUUGGGCGUAAAGAGCUCGUAGGUGGUUAGAUACGUCGGAUGUGAAAAUCAGGGGCUCAACCCCUGACCUGCAUUCGAUACGGUCUAGCUAGAGUGUGGUAGGGGAGACUGGAAUUCCUGGUGUAGCGGUGGAAUGCGCAGAUAUCAGGAGGAACACCGAUGGCGAAGGCAGGUCUCUGGGCCAUUACUGACACUGAGGAGCGAAAGCGUGGGGAGCGAACAGG
rnacentral:rRNA from 1 species